rnacentral:rRNA from 1 species
GAUGAACGCUGGCGGCGUGCCUAAUACAUGCAAGUAGAACGCUGGAGCUUGGUUCUUGCACCGAGCGGAUGAGUUGCGAACGGGUGAGUAACGCGUAGGUAACCGGCCUCUUAGCGGGGGAUAACUAUUGGAAACGAUAGCUAAUACCGCAUAAAAGUCGAUAUCGCAUGAUAUUUAUUUGAAAGGUGCAAAUGAAUCACUUAGAGAUGGACCUGCGGUGUAUUAGCUAGUUGGUGAGGUAACGGCCCAUCAAGGCGAAGAUACAUAGCCGACCUGGGAGGGUGGUCGGCCAAACUGGGAAUGGGACACGGCCCAGAAUCCUUAGGGAGGCAGCAGGAGGGAAUCUUCGGACAUGGGGGCAAAGCUGACCGAGCAACGCCGCGUGGGUGGAGGAAGUUUUCGGAUCGUAAAGCUCUGUUGUAAGGGAAGAACGAGUGUGAGAGUGGAAAGUUCACACUGUGACGUUAACUUAACAGAAAGGGACGGCUAACUACGUG